UCGACCUGAGCUCAGGCAAGAUUACCCGCUGAACUUAAGCAUAUCAAUAAGCGGAGGAAAAGAAACUAACCAGGAUUCCCCUAGUAACGGCGAGUGAACCGGGAAAAGCCCAGCUUGAAAAUCUCCAGCCCCGGGCUGGCGAAAUUGUAGUCUAUAGAAGCGUCCUCUGCGGAGCUCCGGGACCAGUCCCCUGGAAAGGGGCGUCAGAGAGGAUGAGAACUCCGUUGUGCCCGUCGUCUUCGCCCCACGAGCGCUUCCCAGAGUCGGUGGUUGGAUGCAGCUAAGGCAAGUUGUUAAUCCAUCUAGCUAAUACUGGACGGGAAUCGAAGCGAACAGGUUACCGUGAAG
rnacentral:rRNA from 1 species